AACCUUAUGGACCUGCGGGCGUAUACCUGCGGAGGGAUCAUUAUUGAAUAAACUUGGUCAAGCUGUUGCUGGUCCUUCGGGGCAUGUGCACGCUUGCCACCAAUUUUAACCACCUGUGCACCUUUUGUAGAUUGGAAACGUUUCUCGAGGCAACUCGGAUUGAGGACUGCUGUGCGCAAGCCAGCUGUUCUUGUGUUUCUCAAUCUAUGUUUUCAUAUACUCCUAAUGUAUGUAUCAGAA
rnacentral:misc_RNA from 1 species